AGUUGGAUCCUGGCUCAGAUUGAACGCUGGCGGCAUGCCUAACACAUGCAAGUCGAACGGUAACAGGUCUUCGGAUGCUGACGAGUGGCGGACGGGUGAGUAACGCGUAGGAAUCUGUCUUUGAGUGGGGGACAACCCAGGGAAACUUGGGCUAAUACCGCAUAAGCCCUGAGGGGGAAAGCGGGGGAUCUUCGGACCUCGCGCUGGAAGAGGAGCCUACGUCUGAUUAGCUAGUUGGUAGGGUAAAGGCCUACCAAGGCGACGAUCGGUAGCUGGUCUGAGAGGACGACCAGCCACACUGGGACUGAGACACGGCCCAGACUCCUACGGGAGGCAGCAGUGGGGAAUUUUUCGCAAUGGGGGCAACCCUGACGAAGCAAUGCCGCGUGAAUGAAGUAGGCCUUCGGGUUGUAAAGUUCUUUCGUGGAGGACGAAAAGGUGGGUGCUAAUAUCGCCUGCUGUUGACGUGAAUCCAAGAAGAAGCACCGGCUAACUCCGUACCAGCAGCCGCGGUAAUACGGGGGGUGCAAGCGUUAAUCGGAAUCACUGGGCGUAAAGGGUGCGUAGGCGGUGCAUUAGGUCUGUCGUGAAAUC
rnacentral:rRNA from 1 species